ACGGGUGAGGAAUACAUCGGAAUCUACCUUUUCGUGGGGGAUAACGUAGGGAAACUUACGCUAAUACCGCAUACGACCUUCGGGUGAAAGCAGGGGACCUUCGGGCCUUGCGCGGAUAGAUGAGCCGAUGUCGGAUUAGCUAGUUGGCGGGGUAAAGGCCCACCAAGGCGACGAUCCGUAGCUGGUCUGAGAGGAUGAUCAGCCACACUGGAACUGAGACACGGUCCAGACUCCUACGGGAGGCAGCAGUGGGGAAUAUUGGACAAUGGGCGCAAGCCUGAUCCAGCCAUACCGCGUGGGUGAAGAAGGCCUUCGGGUUGUAAAGCCCUUUUGUUGGGAAAGAAAAGCAAUCGAUUAAUACCCGGUUGUUCUGACGGUACCCAAAGAAUAAGCACCGGCUAACUUCGUGCCAGCAGCCGCGGUAAUACGAAGGGUGCAAGCGUUACUCGGAAUUACUGGGCGUAAAGCGUGCGUAGGUGGUUGUUUAAGUCUGUUGUGAAAGCCCUGGGCUCAACCUGGGAAUUGCAGUGGAUACUGGGCAACUAGAGUGUGGUAGAGGGUAGUGGAAUUCCCGGUGUAGC
rnacentral:rRNA from 2 species